rnacentral:rRNA from 1 species
GUCCAUGCCCUAAACGAUGUCAACUGGUUGUUGGGUCUUCACUGACUCAGUAACGAAGCUAACGCGUGAAGUUGACCGCCUGGGGAGUACGGCCGCAAGGUUGAAACUCAAAGGAAAUUGACGGGGACCCGGCACAAGCGGUGGAUGAUGUGGUUUAAUUCGAUGCAACGCGAAAACCUUAACCUACCCUUGACAUGUCUGGAAUCCCGCAGAGAUGUGGGAGUGCUCGAAAGAGAGCCAGAACACAGGUGCUGCAUGGCUGUCGU